CCUCCUGGGGGCGGGGAUGGGAGGAAGCAGUGGGUGUGUGUGUCCACACAUGUGGACUCGAUAGGGUCUGGUGUAGAGGCAGCUGGGGCACAGAAGAUGGGGAAAACAACCAGGAUGUGUGAGGAUGGACUGUUGGCUCCCGUAAUAUUAGGUCCACAUCUGUUCCUGUUCCAUAUCUGCAGUGCCUAUGCCCUCACGUCCCCCAGCCCUCCUAGCGUGGAGGGCAGCAUGAGGGAGAAAGAAACCCUGUAUUCUCACCCUUCUGGAGGAGAGAGUAUAAAGGAGGGCCAGCGCUGAACCCUGAGGGUCAUGCACAAUAGGGGUAUUUCAGGCUCUGCGGCAGCUAAUGGGGAGAUGUUCGUGGGCUAUAGGAGAUCCCAGCUCUCCUUCUCCUGGUCUCAGUUUCCCAAAUCUUUACAAUGGGGUAAAUGUAUGCUCAACAUGGUCAAAUUACAGAAACGGGGCCCACUGUAAACUCAGAAGUGCUUUGGGCGCUAUAAAGUGCAGUAUAUCCAUGAGAGACCAAUUCUCCACUAGGAAUGAGGGCUUUUGGGAAGGAAGUCUUUGUAAUUGGGGUGCUGACCACAUAUGCCCAAGGCCACUGGGGAGGAUGGUGGGUGCUCAAGUUUGUGCCUGGUCACCAAGGAUGACCCAGGGUCAACUAGUAGUAUAGCCCUCUGGCUUUGGCAUCUCUGCUGUGUCCACUUCUCCAGGAGUUGUCACCUUUUCUGGGAUUGCACCCCUCUCCCCCUGCUUCCCCACAGCACUACACACACUCCCAGCACAACCUGAAGGACCAGCUCCUCCUUCACCAGCCUUGUGUGCUUGGCAGGGCCCACAUUCACUUGAAAGGACUCACCCUUCUCCCAUGGAACAAGGCUUAUCCUGGUUCAGGCCUCCCAGCCACCUGACCUUAUAGCUGAUCCAGGCAGUGUGAGCCCAUGGUUCCCUGGCUGGGAGAAGUCUGAGGGGUGGGCGUGGGGGGUGGGGGUGGGGGGGCCUCUGCCUCUAUCUCUCCUGCCUUGGCAGUGAGCCCAGGGGAGCCUAGGCCUGAACCUAAAGUCCCACAGCAAACGGGUCAGAGAAGCUGACCUUGCCCCUCCCACUCUUUCCUGGACCUGGUUCCCAGCCAUGCCAAAAUCCUGAGCACUGCCCACCUCUCCUUGGCAGCAAACCCGUCCCACGCGCCCAAGGCUGACAGAUGGAGGCUUUCUUUAAAUUGAAGGCUUAUGGGGAGGUGGAGAGUGGGAGCUGACAGCCCCUCCGCAGGGAGCUCCGUCUCCUACUCCCCCCACCCCUUCUGCCUGCUGACAGCUGUUCAGUUUCCAUCUCACCCACGUGGACCUGGCGAUGACCAGCUCUCUUUGCCUCAGAUUCAAGCCCUUUUGAGCAGUUGUACAUUGGAGGAAAGAAGGCCCCACAGGCAAAAUGGAGAAUCAGGGUGCGCAGGCCUGAUGUGCUUGCUGCCCCUUGGCAGACUGCAGACCCCCGCAGGGCCUUCCCGUCUCAAACUGGAAGGGAAGCUCCACCUACACACCCAGCAGGAGAGAAUGCUGUCAUCCCAGGAACGUGAGUCUUAGUUUCAUCAGAGAGAAUCACGGGAUUCCAGAAUAGAAUCCUAAAUCCAGCAGCUCGUGACAUUCUAGCCAGGAAUCUUAGAAUCACAGCAAAGACUCCCCGGAGAGAAGCCAGGUCAGGAAGAACAUUCUAGAAUCCCAGGACUAGAAGACCCUUGUGGGAUGCCCCAGGCUUGUCUUGUCUGCGCAGCACUGAUAAUCACUCUCCUGUUCCCUUCUGUGGGCAUGCAGAACCCUACUGACCUUCUCACAGCCACCCUUUUCAGGUUUCUCUAGUUCUGUCUUCAACCUUUGUUGUUCUCAUGAAAACCUGCCUGUUUCUCCAAUCCUCCCACAGGGAACAGACCUCAUAACCACUGUCCCAUGGAUGCUGUGCCCUCCCCCUGCCAUGGCAAUGUGCUCCCAAACCCUUGAGGAGGAGGGGUGCGUGUCAGUUUCCUCAUCUGUAAAACAGGGACAAUUUUGUGGGGACUGUGUGGAUGAAAUGAGAUGACACAUGGAAACCCUUUAGCAUAUGCCUGGCAUAGAAACUGCAGACAUUAUUACUGGGGCGUACUGAGUCCUGAAUAUGGCUGUCUUGUUGGCAGACUGGGGGCUGCCCCAGGGCAUUCAUUUACUGUGCAUUUAUUGUGCCCUUUUUCUAUGCCAGGCACAUGGUGUACACAAGAUACAGGUUAUCUACUGUCUUCUCGAGCAAUCUGGCUUAGCAGCAGAUACAUACGUGGGGCAGAUCAUCUGCUGGAGGAAGAACUGGUGGAGGAAGGGAUGGGGAUGAUCCUGCACUGGAAGCCUAGCUUUCAGUUCUGACCUAGACACAAAGUUCUUGUGGCACCUAAGAUCAAACCCAGAUACCUGCGAGCAGAGCUUAAAGUCACCCUCCUCCAGGAAGCCCUAGCUUCCACUCCUCCCUGUACCCAGAACACAGGUAUUUCCACCCUUCCUUCCUGUGCCCUUGACUUUGAGACAUCCUCGGAGAGUAGCCUAUCCUCCUCUGCCUAUGGCUGGGAAGUCCUUCCUCAGGUCCCCGGUCAGAUCCUCUAGCUGCAGGUGUGCCUGUUUCCCCUACCCUCCCCCAUUUGCUUUACAACAAGAAUAACUCAGCUCUGUAACAGGACAAUUAUCUGUGCUUCUCCUUGUCUUAGGAAAGCUUCACAGAGCUACUAAUGAAUCUCCAUCAUUAUCUUUAACAAGCGUGCUGGAGGCUGCAGGCUGCUCCCCAGGCUCUGCGGCUCACACGCACAGGUCUGACUCAGCCGCAGCUCCCAGGCUGGAUCUUCUGAGGACCUCUGGGAAUGGCCAGAGUGGCUCCUCUGGGUUUUCCCUCCCACUUGUCAAGAUGCCUGAGAUUCCACCAUUAUAGGUUCACUCUUUGGGGAGAAGGUACUGCUGACCCCUUAAAUAAUGCUCUGCCUCUGUGGUCACUCAUGAAGCAAUGAGUCACCGGAAUGGGUAGGAGCCAGGGCUGGUCUCGAGCUUUCUAUCCUAGCUCAAGAGGAACUCAGGGAGGGGGCCCUGAGCUCAGAAUCAGCUGGAGAGGGACCGCUUAGUGCCAGGCAAUGAAUUCUUUAACUGCUCUCUUAGCCACCCUUCCCUAAGGAGGCCCAGAACUGACCAAGGGCAGGGUAAGAACAGAAGAGGAGGGCUGGCUCCAGAUGGGAAGAGGGGAGAGUAGGAAGGGUGACAAGGUGAGCCAAGCCUGGGUAUGCAGAUGGCAGAGGGUAGAGUUGGAAGGAAGCUUGGAAGUCCUUGCACAGAUGGGGAAACUGAGGCAGGGAGUUCCCAGAGGUCACACGGGAAAUUAGCAAGAAAGGUGGGAUGGGGGCUGUGGUCUCUGGCCAUGAAGUGACCCAUUUCCUACCAAGGAGAGGCAUUUCUCAUUGGCAGGAGCAGGUCUGUGAACUCCCAGGUGGCUGAGCACCAUCUCCUGUUGCUGGGAGGGGCGUGGGAUUCAAGGAGCUGCCAGAUGGGGUCGGAUGGGGUUUGGCCAUCCUAGGAGAGAGAGAGAGAGAGAAAAGGAGAGAGACAGAGACAGAGAGACAGAGAGAGGAGAGGAAGGGGAAAGAGAAAGCGUGGAGAGAGGGGGGAGAAGGAGAUUCAGGUCAGAGAAGAUGAAGGAGAGACGGAGGGAGGUGGGCCUGGGCGGGGU